GUCCAAUAUUGCUGCUUAACCACCAGAGUCUUUGGUUAGGGGAAGCUUCCCUUUGAGAAAAAUGUGAGUAGGCAAGGAAAUAUGACAAACACAUUCAGCACUUUCCCAAGGCCUCAUAAUUAGAUAGAAAUGGAAUUUGAAUCCUGAUGCCUGAGAUUUAAGCAUAGGACACUUCAUUACGCCACAGCUUCCUCUGAGGGGAAGUCAUUGCAGGGAAUGAUCUGGACUCUUAUGAAACACCUUGCUCUCCAGUGCUUGUCUGAGAUCCAGAAAGAGGUCAAGUCCAUUGACACAGCAGCAGAAUUUAGGAGGAUUACUCAUCUCGUUCCUCCCCCAGAGGAAAUGGACAGACUGCACUCAACAGGCACAUGGUACAGGAAACCCACGCGGCUAGAGAGAAACUGUGGAGAAAGCAAGCCUGGAGUUCACGACUCAUCUGUAAUUUUCCCACCAAGGGAUGUCCACAGGAGAGUUGCUGCCCGGCUACCCAUGAGAGGCUACCCGGCCUCAAAGCAAACAGCACUGACACAGAGCCCGACCGCCUGGGCUGAAGCCUCCCCUCACCGCUUCAGAGCUAUCGACCCUAGGCAAGAUUCUGUUAAAUGGAGAUAAAGGUUGCUACAUCAUAGGUUUAUUAUGGGAAUUGAAUUAAAUGAGCUUAUCUCUGUAAAACAUUUCCACCAAGCACACAGUACAUAAGUAUUUAAAUAAAUAGAUUUGCAAAGGCUGCAUUACCAAAAA
rnacentral:lncRNA from 1 species